rnacentral:rRNA from 1 species
GAGUCAUUGUGAAGUGGUUAGAAUGUGUGGUGUAGCGGUGAAAUGCAUAGAUAUCACACAGAAUACCAAUUGCGAAGGCAGAUCACUAACAAUAUACUGACGCUCAUGGACGAAAGCGUGGGGAGCGAACAGGAUUAGAUACCCUGGUAGUCCACGCCGUAAACGAUGGAUACUAGCUGUUCGUCUAACAUUGGUUAGAUGAGUGGCUAAGCGAAAGUGAUAAGUAUCCCACCUGGGGAGUACGGUCGCAAGACUGAAACUCAAAGGAAUUGACGGGGGCCCGCACAAGCGGUGGAGCAUGUGGUUUAAUACGAUGAUACGCGAGGAACCUUACCAGGGCUUAAAUGUAUUGGGACAGGUCUAGAGAUAGACCCUUCUUCGGACUCUUGACAAGGUGCUGCAUGGUUGUCGUCAGCUCGUGCCGUGAGGUGUCAGGUUAAGUCCUAUAACGAGCGCAACCCCUAUCGUUAGUCGCCAGCGGGUAAUGCCGGGAACUCUGACGAAACUGCCAGUGC